rnacentral:misc_RNA from 1 species
GAUGAAGAACGCAGCGAAAUGCGAUAAUUAAUGUGAAUUGCAGAAUUCCGUGAAUCAUCGAGUCUUUGAACGCACAUUGCGCCUCAUGGCAUUCCGUGAGGCAUGCCCAUCUCAGCGUUAGAAAAUAUUCUCAAAUUUUAGUUUUGUGCUAAAAUUUGGAUCAUGUCAAGGAAGCUAUUACUAUUAUUGUGAUCGCUCUUUGGAAAUUGAUAGGUCUUUGAGUUGCUACUCAUAGAACGUGAUGAAUCUUUCUUCGUUCUAUUGUAAUUCACUCUGGUAGGCCUAAAACUUGUAUGCCUGUGGCAUAUCUUGUAAUUUGACCUGAGAUUGGGUAGGGAUACCCGCUGAACUUAAGCAUAUCAAUAAGCGGAGGA